rfam:Sarcophilus harrisii ctg7180002395952, whole genome shotgun sequence.
AUAACUCAACAAAUACUAAUAUUUAACCUAUUGGAAUAACAUGUAUAAUCUAUGAGUUAUAGUCUUUGGUUGGGGUGACCUCGGAGCAUAAAAGAACCUCCGAAUGAAUAAAACCAAGAUUAACAAAUCUAAGUGUAAUAUUACCAGUAAUUGACCCAUAUUUUGAUCAACGGAACAAGUUACCCCAGGGAUAACAGCGCAAUCCUAUUUGAGAGCCCAUAUCGAAAACAGGGUUUACGACCUCGAUGUUGGAUCAGGACAUCCAAAUGGUGCAACCGCUAUUAAAGGUUCGUUUGUUCAACGAUUAAAGUCCUACGUGAUCUGAGUUCAGACCGGAGAAAUCCAGGUCGGUUUCUAUCUGUAAAUUCAUUUCUCCCAGUACGAAAGGACAAGAGAAAUAGGGCCAAUAUCCAUAAUAAGCCCUAGAAUUAAUAUAUGAAUUUAUCUAAAUAUACUAAAUCAACCCAUAUACCCCCAAGAACAGGGCUAUUAAGAUGGCAGAGCCGG